rnacentral:sRNA from 1 species
UUGGAAGAAGAAACAAUCUGUACAGCCACCCGCCAGGUACAGCACAGGUAACAUCAGUGCAAGCUUCCCCGACACUGAUGCACCAGGAGUGUCCCUGCCCUGACUGAAAGAGACUAGGACCAAGAGGCUAGUUCAGUGUUCAUGGUUCAUUCAGUCCUUGAAUGUU